rnacentral:rRNA from 1 species
AUUCAGGAUUGUCUGGCCUGGAGUUUUGAGUAUAUUCACCAAUGUAAGCAAUCCAAGCGUCCAAUUGUAAUCCUUAAGUUGGACUUUGCUAAGGCCUUUGACACAGUUGAGCAUGAGGUUAUUCUUCAGAUGUUGCAGCAUAAAGGAUUUGAUGCCAAAUGGAUUCUUUGGGUUAAACAGCUGUUGUCUACAGGUUCUUCGUCUGUGCUGUUAAAUGGCAUUCCUGGAAAGCAAUUCUUGUGUAAGUGUGGUGUCAGGCAGGGUGAUCCACUCUCUCCUCUGUUGUUCGUCAUCGCAGCCGAUCUGUUGCAAUCUGUGGUCAAUCAAAUGCUGGCGUCUGGCACACUCUCUUUGCCUCUUCAGACCCAUGAUAGGGAUUUUCCCAUCAUCCAAUAUGCAGAUGACACGAUCCUAUUUCUUGCGGCUAAGGAUGAUGAGCUUGUUGCCCUCAAGAAUAUGCUGCUUACAUUUCAACAAUCCACUGGUUUAAAGGUCAACUUUGCUAAAUCCUCAAUGAUCCCACUCAAUAUGACUACCGAG